AUUGAACGCUGGCGGCAGGCCUAACACAUGCAAGUCGAACGAGCGGCGGAAGGGUGAGUAAUGUCUGGGAUACUGCCUGCUGUCAGGGGGUAACUACUGGAAACGGUGGCUGAUACCGCAUACCCUCAGAUGUGCCCCGAUGGGAUUAGCUAGUGGGUGGGGUAAUGCCUCACCUAGGCGACGAUCCCUAGCUGGUCUGAGAGGAUGACCAGCACCACUGGAACUGAGAAACGGCCCAGACUCUUACGGGAGGCAGAAGUGGGGAAUAUUCGACAAUGGGCGAAAGCUUGAGGCAGCAAUGCCGGGGGUAGGAAGAAGGCCUCCGGGUUGUAAAGUACUUUCAGCGGGGCGGCGUUACCCGAAGAAGAAGCACCGGCUAACUCCGUGCCAGCAGCCGCGGUAAUAC
rnacentral:rRNA from 1 species